rnacentral:rRNA from 1 species
UACAGGGGGUGCAAACGUUGCUCGGAAUCAUUGGGCGUAAAGCGCACGUAGGCGGUUCGUUAUGUCGGAUGUGAAAGCCCUUGGCUUAACCGAGGAAGUGCAUCCGAAACUGGCGAGCUAGAGUACGAAAGAGGAUCGCGGAAUUCCCGGUGUAGAGGUGAAAUGCGUAGAUAUCAGGAGGAACACCGGUGGCGAAGGCGGUUCUCUGGGCCUGUACUGACGCUGAGGAGCGAAAGCGUGGGGAGCAAACAGG